rnacentral:rRNA from 1 species
AUUGAACGCUGGCGGCAUGCUUUACACAUGCAAGUCGAACGGUAACAGGUUAAGCUGACGAGUGGCGAACGGGUGAGUAAUGCAUCGGAACGUGCCCGGUCGUGGGGGAUAACGCAGCGAAAGCUGCGCUAAUACCGCAUACGAUCUGAGGAUGAAAGCGGGGGACCGUAAGGCCUCGCGCGAUCGGAGCGGCAGAUGUCGGAUUAGGUAGUUGGUGGGGUAAAGGCUCACCAAGCCAACGAUCUGUAGCUGGUCUGAGAGGACGACCAGCCACACUGGGACUGAGACACGGCCCAGACUCCUACGGGAGGCAGCAGUGGGGAAUUUUGGACAAUGGGCGAAAGCCUGAUCCAGCAAUGCCGCGUGCAGGAAGAAGGCCUUCGGGUUGUAAACUGCUUUUGUACGGAGCGAAAAGGUCUCCUCUAAUACAGGGGGCUCAUGACGGUACCGUAAGAAUAAGCACCGGCUAACUACGUGCCAGCAGCCGCCGUAA